rnacentral:rRNA from 1 species
AUCCUGGCUCAGGACGAACGCUGGCGGCGUGCCUAAGCUUAUGCAAGUCGAACGCGAAAGGCUCCUUCGGGAGCCGAGUAGAGUGGCAGACGGGUGAGUAACGCGUGGGUAACGUGCCCCAAUCCUGGGAAUAACCCUCGGAAACGAGGGCUAAUACCGAAUGUGGCCCCGAUCGGAUGAUCGGUGGCUAAAGGUGGCCUCUUCUAUGCUGCCGGGUUGGGAUCGGCCCGCGUCCCAUUAGCUAGUUGGUGAGGUAACGGCCCACCAAGGCAACGAUGGGUAGCCGGCCUGAGAGGGUGUCCGGCCACACUGGCACUGAGACAAGGGCCAGUCCCCUAUGGGAGGCGCAGGCGGGAAUAGUUCCCAAUGGACGAAAGUCUGAGGACGCGACGCCGCGUGAGCGAAGAAGGCCUUCGGGUUGUAAAGCUCUGUCAGGAGGGAAGAAGGCGCUGGGUGUUAAUAGCACCAAGCGUUGACGGUACUUCCAGAGGAAGCCCCGGCUAAAUACGUGCCAGCAGCCGCGGUAAUACGUAUGGGGCAAGCGUUGUCCGGAUUAACUGGGCGUAAAGGGCACGCAGGCGGUUCGUUUAGUCGAAGGUGAAAUCCCUGGGCUCAACUCAGGAACUGCCUUCGAUACUGGCGAACUAGAGUGGCGUAGAGGAAAGCGGAACUCCUGGUGUAACGGUGGAGUGUGUAGAUAUCAGGAGGAACACCGGUGGCGAAGGCGGCUUUCUGGACGCACACUGACGCUCAGGUGCCGAAAGCGUGGGUAGCAAACAGGAUUAGAUACCCUGGUAGUCCACGCCGUAGACGACGGGUACUAGGUGUCGUGGGGUAUCGACGACCUCGGCGCCGAAGUCUACGCAGUCAAGUACCCCGCCUGGGGAGUAUUGAUCGCAACGGCUGAUACUCAUAAGGAAUUGACGGCGUCCUCCGCACAACCGCUGGAGCAUAUGGUGUAAUUCGACGCAACGCGAAGAACCUUACACGGGCUUGACAAACGCGGGACAGCGCUGGAAACAGCAGUCCCUCCUUCGGGAGUCCUCGCACAGCAUGCUGCAUGACGGUCGUCAGCUCGUGUCGUGAGAAGACGGCGUAAGUCCCUCAUCGAGGGCAACCAUCGUUACUAGUUGCCAUCAGCACGGCUGGGCACUAUAGUGAGAAUGCCGCUCGACUAACCCGGAGGAAGAUGAGGAUGA